GAACCGGGGGAACUGAAACAUCUAAGUACCCCGAGGAAAAGAAAUCAACCGAGAUUCCCCCAGUAGCGGCGAGCGAACGGGGAGCAGCCCAGAGCCUGAAUCAGUGUGUGUGUUAGUGGAAGCGUCUGGAAAGGCGCGCGAUACAGGGUGACAGCCCCGUACACAAAAAUGCACAUGCUGUGAGCUCGAUGAGUAGGGCGGGACACGUGGUAUCCUGUCUGAAUAUGGGGGGACCAUCCUCCAAGGCUAAAUACUCCUGACUGACCGAUAGUGAACCAGUACCGUGAGGGAAAGGCGAAAAGAACCCCGGCGAGGGGAGUGAAAAAGAACCUGAAACCGUGUACGUACAAGCAGUGGGAGCACGCUUAGGCGUGUGACUGCGUACCUUUUGUAUAAUGGGUCAGCGACUUAUAUUCUGUAGCAAGGUUAACCGAAUAGGGGAGCCGAAGGGAAACCGAGUCUUAACUGGGCGUUAAGUUGCAGGGUAUAGACCCGAAACCCGGUGAUCUAGCCAUGGGCAGGUUGAAGGUUGGGUAACACUAACUGGAGGACCGAACCGACUAAUGUUGAAAAAUUAGCGGAUGACUUGUGGCUGGGGGUGAAAGGCCAAUCAAACCGGGAGAUAGCUGGUUCUCCCCGAAAGCUAUUUAGGUAGCGCCUCGUGAAUUCAUCUCCGGGGGUAGAGCACUGUUUCGGCAAGGGGGUCAUCCCGACUUACCAACCCGAUGCAAACUGCGAAUACCGGAGAAUGUUAUCACGGGAGACACACGGCGGGUGCUAACGUCCGUCGUGAAGAGGGAAACAACCCAGACCGCCAGCUAAGGUCCCAAAGUCAUGGUUAAGUGGGAAACGAUGUGGGAAGGCCCAGACAGCCAGGAUGUUGGCUUAGAAGCAGCCAUCAUUUAAAGAAAGCGUAAUAGCUCACUGGUCGAGUCGGCCUGCGCGGAAGAUGUAACGGGGCUAAACCAUGCACCGAAGCUGCGGCAGCGACGCUUAUGCGUUGUUGGGUAGGGGAGCGUUCUGUAAGCCUGUGAAGGUGUGCUGUGAGGCAUGCUGGAGGUAUCAGAAGUGCGAAUGCUGACAUAAGUAACGAUAAAGCGGGUGAAAAGCCCGCUCGCCGGAAGACCAAGGGUUCCUGUCCAACGUUAAUCGGGGCAGGGUGAGUCGACCCCUAAGGCGAGGCCGAAAGGCGUAGUCGAUGGGAAACAGGUUAAUAUUCCUGUACUUGGUGUUACUGCGAAGGGGGGACGGAGAAGGCUAUGUUGGCCGGGCGACGGUUGUCCCGGUUUAAGCGUGUAGGCUGGUUUUCCAGGUAAAUCCGGAAAAUCAAGGCUGAGGCGUGAUGACGAGGCACUACGGUGCUGAAGCAACAAAUGCCCUGCUUCCAGGAAAAGCCUCUAAGCAUCAGGUAACAUCAAAUCGUACCCCAAACCGACACAGGUGGUCAGGUAGAGAAUACCAAGGCGCUUGAGAGAACUCGGGUGAAGGAACUAGGCAAAAUGGUGCCGUAACUUCGGGAGAAGGCACGCUGAUAUGUAGGUGAAGUCCCUCGCGGAUGGAGCUGAAAUCAGUCGAAGAUACCAGCUGGCUGCAACUGUUUAUUAAAAACACAGCACUGUGCAAACACGAAAGUGGACGUAUACGGUGUGACGCCUGCCCGGUGCCGGAAGGUUAAUUGAUGGGGUUAGCCGCAAGGCGAAGCUCUUGAUCGAAGCCCCGGUAAACGGCGGCCGUAACUAUAACGGUCCUAAGGUAGCGAAAUUCCUUGUCGGGUAAGUUCCGACCUGCACGAAUGGCGUAAUGAUGGCCAGGCUGUCUCCACCCGAGACUCAGUGAAAUUGAACUCGCUGUGAAGAUGCAGUGUACCCGCGGCAAGACGGAAAGACCCCGUGAACCUUUACUAUAGCUUGACACUGAACAUUGAGCCUUGAUGUGUAGGAUAGGUGGGAGGCUUUGAAGUGUGGACGCCAGUCUGCAUGGAGCCGACCUUGAAAUACCACCCUUUAAUGUUUGAUGUUCUAACGUUGACCCGUGAUCCGGGUUGCGGACAGUGUCUGGUGGGUAGUUUGACUGGGGCGGUCUCCUCCUAAAGAGUAACGGAGGAGCACGAAGGUUGGCUAAUCCUGGUCGGACAUCAGGAGGUUAGUGCAAUGGCAUAAGCCAGCUUGACUGCGAGCGUGACGGCGCGAGCAGGUGCGAAAGCAGGUCAUAGUGAUCCGGUGGUUCUGAAUGGAAGGGCCAUCGCUCAACGGAUAAAAGGUACUCCGGGGAUAACAGGCUGAUACCGCCCAAGAGUUCAUAUCGACGGCGGUGUUUGGCACCUCGAUGUCGGCUCAUCACAUCCUGGGGCUGAAGUAGGUCCCAAGGGUAUGGCUGUUCGCCAUUUAAAGUGGUACGCGAGCUGGGUUUAGAACGUCGUGAGACAGUUCGGUCCCUAUCUGCCGUGGGCGCUGGAGAACUGAGGGGGGCUGCUCCUAGUACGAGAGGACCGGAGUGGACGCAUCACUGGUGUUCGGGUUGUCAUGCCAAUGGCACUGCCCGGUAGCUAAAUGCGGAAGAGAUAAGUGCUGAAAGCAUCUAAGCACGAAACUUGCC
rnacentral:rRNA from 1 species